UUUGCUCAAAUUUGAUGGAUUCUAGUCCGUAUUUGCACGUAUCUCCCUCAAAUACUGAUAAUGUCCAUCAAUGAUCACCUGAAACAUGAAAGGACCAAAACACAAGUGAUUCUAGCAUAAAAUAAGAUAACUAUGCACAAAAAUGGAAGUAAUAUGGCAUAUAAACAUGUGUAACACAAUGCAUAUCAAAUCACCCCACACUUAAGCUUUUGCUUGUCCUCAAGCAAUC
rnacentral:lncRNA from 1 species